CAGCAGGGAGAUGGGACAGACACUGAAGUCCUCCCAUGUGUAUUAUUGCUGCAGAAGAAUCACAAAGGAACAUCUUGGCACCCAUACCUCCAUUUCCUGAACAAAUCUGACAACCAGAUUGACCGACAGAAUUGCCUAGGCUAUUUGUCCAAGAGGUACCUCUUCAGACUGUCCUGAACCUGGGAUCCUGGCAUAAUAGACAGACUCCACUGUGCAGAUACCAGAAACACUGAAGUUACCUACAAUCUCAGAAGAGUUCCCCAGAGUUUACACACUCCCUAAGAAAUAUCUGAAAUGCAAUGAAACUCCAGAGGAACUCUUGGUCAUGCCUUCACUUGCUCUGAUGCAGACCCAGCUGAAGACCAGGACUCAAAGGAGCUCUUUGUUAUGCAUCCAAGCCAGAGACCAGCGGCCAUGAGAACUUGUUGGCUCCUUCCCUGCAUUAUCUCAUUUCUGGGCCAGAAGGUACAGCUAAGCAGCACCAGAUGGCCAUUGGAGGCUAUCCAGACAUACAUCAAGGUAGCUUCACCCAAUCCCCAACAGGCAAUCAAGAGUUUGCUCAGGAGGAGAGGAAGGCAGAAGGAUGAUACGCUGGCAUGAAGGGCCACUGCAAGAAAGGCCGGUCAGCCUACAUCAAAAAGGACUGCCUUUGCCUAAUGUUAGUCAUACUUACUUUCAGUUAUAAAACUAACAAGUUCCUAGCUACUUACCACUAAAGCUCAUCCCUCAGCAAGUGGCACCUAAUUGCAAGCACAUCAAAUAGUCCAAAAUAACUUCUGAUUGAAAUAUACCGGAACUGUGCUUUGCAUCUACAUUUUGCACCAUUCAGAUGACAGCAAAAUUUGAUUACUGUCUCUGCUGCAGCAUUAAUUCAUACUGACACUUCAGAAAACUCAAGACAUUAAACACAUUUUAAAAAUAAGAUUUUUAUGUAUACAUAAUUAUAAUACUCUCAAAUCUUUGUUAAACUGUGGCCAUUUCUGGUGAGAUGUGGAAGACAUUGCACAUGAUUUAACACUGUACUGUACCAAAAACUUGAGGGGAAGUUUCAAUAGAGAGAAUGCGCAAACUGACCAGGAACUCAGCCAGAAGAGCGAGUGCUCUCCUUCCUAGUGCUCUGUAUGCACCCUAUUGAAUGGCGCAGCAUCCCUCAGCAUCACAAUUACACACAGUUUAUAGCUUUUAGGAAAGAUAAAUUAUACAAGCAAAACUAUUUGCAGCAUUCAAGUUACCUCACUUAAGGCUAUUUCAAGUGUGUUUAUGCUGCUAUGCAUCUAUUUAUGUGACUGAAAUGCACACAGAUUUUCUAGAAAAAGGUUUUCAAAUUAAUGGAAGAAGGCUACUAAUUAAUACUUCCUAAUUAAAACUUUUUCUAUAGCAAAUAUAUUGUUUCUGGAAACAAAGUCCUGACACAGAAUAUCUACAUAAGAACAGAAAGUGUGGUUGUGUACCUAAUACUUUACAAGUAUUAAUGCCAGUAAGGCAGAAAUUGUUUUCUAUAAGCUAGUGAUCGACAUUAAAAAUUCAGUACUCAGAGCACACAGUUACCCAGUGGAAUAUAAGACAGAACAGUUAUUUCUAAGAGCUAGGAAAAACAUAGUGUCUAUUAUAAUUUCUCAAAAGAAUACUAUAAAAAUGCCUUUCUAUAUGCCCCUAUAAAUCCAGUAGCAGAUCCAUUACUUAAAUUUUGUAGCAAAAUCAUUUCUACUUUUGUUUAACCAGCAUUAAUUGAAUUUCCUUUAAGUUACUACAAUUGCUCAUCUUUUCAGAUUGAUAAUUAUAAAAGAAAACACCUGCAAAUGCCUACAAAAAUAAAGAUUAAUUAGAUGGCUCUGGAUAAAGAAUACCAGUGUGGAAAUAACAAGUUACCUUACACAUUCAUUAAUUUCUAAAGGCUUUCUUUGGAUUAUUGGGUUUUGUUUUUCCUGUUUAGGAGCGUACCUAUUUUACACAGCAUUUCAUUAUUUUCCCUGCUAUGUCUUUUCUGCUGAAGAUGAUAAGCUAUGUACCCAAGCAACAUCCCAGUAUUAGGUCUCCUGCCACCUAUAGCUGUAAAGAUCUGUCAUGCCAGGAGAGCAGGGCCAGUGCUAAAGCCCCCAGCAGCAAUGUCCUUCCAGACAGCACUUCCAAGGCCAUCUCUGUACGGAUUGCAUGUGCUGCCCUCCCGGAAGAGCAAAAAGAGAGCCUCAAAAAAGGAAGAGGCAGCUAGUUUGUGAUCUGCUCAGGUAUUUCUGCUAUGCACCUCAGCCAGCCAAUGUGAAUCAUUUUCUGACAGACAAGUUAUGCAAUGUCCCAAAAACUAAGUUGCAGGCUAGUCUAUGGGAAAGGAGUAGGUCUUGUUACAGGUAAGGGCCAUCACAUACACAAAACAAUGUCCAAGAGUGAAAAAUGUGAACAACAACAACGACAAAUAGAACUUGUGUCUCCGAGAACUUUUUUGCUGUUAGGAAUAAGCGGGAAGUGUGUUAGGAUUCAGUAACAUGCAGCACAGCUAGUGAUUACUGGUGCAGUAAUGCAAUCAAUGCAAUUUGGUUUUGGGAAGCUUUAAGAGGAAGGUUACUGCAGAAGCACAUGGCUCCAUCAUUAGACAUGUGGGCCAGAUCACCUGACCAAAGCCCACUUUGGCUACAAGUCAUGUAAGCUGAAGUCCAGCCUGCACUGACCUGUAAGCAUUCUGACCCUCUCUAGGACACAGAGAUGACAUAAGUCAGAAACUCUCCAGCCCUUCAAUCCCUCCUCAGUCUUUUAAUGCCCUUCGCAAAAGCCAGGGCAUGUUCAAACUGCUGCUGCACUGCAGCUCUCUCCUUGGGAGCUGCAGGCAAGCAGGCAGAGGUGAGGCAGCUCUGCCUCACAGGGUAUCAAUCUAUAAGGCAACAAUAGGGAAAAAAAAAAAGCAAAAAAUAUUCUCCCCACUUCUUUCCUUUCCUGAUAUUCUGCACUAUCUUGUUACUGCAUUGACACAUUGUCUAUGCUGCCUUUUUUUUAUUGGUAAAAGGGUUUGCUCUGGGUUUUAAAAGCCCAAGCCAUGGCAGGUCACAGCAAAGCCAGCUGCCAGCAGAAAUUACGUUUUCUCUAACUGUGCAUUUUUCAAACUUGAUCAGGUACCUGAACAUCAACUGUGACUUUCAUUUUUCUUGUAUCACUCACAGUAGCAAAGGUCUCAAAGGUUAGAUUAUGCCUCCAGUUACACACGUACUGCUCCACAGAGUUUGUAUUGCCCCCCCAAAUAAUACAGGGAAAACCUCAGUGGGGGUAGGGGAAAUGGCAUAGUGUAACAAGCUGUUCUUUGUUACUCUCUUGGGCAAUGUGCAAAGCUGACAGUCAGAAAUCUAUUUUAACUAAGUUUCUUACGAGAUCAUUUACUAAUUUUGCUAUGACUCAAGCAAAAUUCUACAGUCAAUGUUUCCACAACUCACACAUGAUUUCUGUACAUUCUUCUGUGUUUCCUGGGUAUAGAUGCAUGUGAAGGAUCACCUUUGCUUCGCUUUUCUUAUUCCAUACAGAAGGGAAACAUUUCUGCCCCUACAGCAACAACUUGAGCUUUCGUCCUCUCAAUCUCUCUCUAGAGGCCUGACUCCACAUACAGGGAAGAAGUGGGGUUGAAAUGAAUGAAUAUUGCCUUCUUGGGGCCAGCUGAAGACAACUUAACCUUCAUCUGCAAACAGGGACAUCCUCACAAAGAAUUACUCUCCUAGAGUCUCUUCCAGGGGGUUUCAGAAGCAAAAGGAUUGGAUAUGAGGGCCUUCUAUGAGCUACAAACCAGCAAUGCAGUUAAUCGCAGGGCGUUUUUCUGGAUACAAUGAAGCAUCCUUUAAAGCCUGUAAAUUCCUUUAAAACAAAGGAAUUCAGAGUGAAAGCAGAGAUGCUCUUCUCACCCUAAGCAGGAGAAGGCAUCUCAGCUCAUUUCUGUUGCAUAGAUGAAGUCAGGCACAUGACUGGGGAAACACACUGGUAGCCUUGACCAAACCUAUUUGAACGCAGUUGGCCUUCCUCUAGACUGCACAGAAUGAGAACAUAUGCUGUAAUUGUAUUUUGGGGAAAAGAACUCUAGUUCAGAUCAAAAUAUAUACAUUUUGUUGUGAAAUGUUAUGUUCUAAGGUAAAACUGUAUUACAAAAUGAUGAAGCUUUAUUAAGGUAGCCUAAAAACAGCAAGAAAAAAACCAAGAAACCUCCCAGCAGUAUUUAUUUAGCAGAAUAUCUGUGAAAAACAUAUCUUUUAGGAAGAGACUGUGUAAGGUAUCAAACAAUCUCUUAUGUGAACAGGGAAAGCAAUUCUAGCACAGCAUGAAAGGUGUCCUCUUCAGUAAAUAACGUCACAUGCAUGAUGCUUUAAAAACAUGUGAACACAAGCUGCAUUUGCUAUUAUUUCUAAAAAUAAAGCUUCAAGGAUAGUUAUUUGCCAAAGUAAUACCUCUGCUAGCAUUUAAACCACUUUGAACCAUUAUUACAGCUGAAGAUGUCUGACCUUUGUUAAAAUUAUUAAGGAUGAAUGUUAUUUUGCAGACAGUAUUAGUGCUAUAAGAUGUUGAUUGAGACUACCAAAAAAAAGACAGAUCUUUGCCACAGAAGUUAAGAUUUCCUACAACCACUGAAAUAUUUUUAAACCAUAACAAUAAACUAUAACACAGUUGUGCUGGUUUUGGCUGGGACAGAGUUAGUUUUCUUCAUAGUAGCUGGUAUGGGGCUAUGUUUUGGAUUUGUGCUGAAAACAGUGUUGAUAAUAGAGAUGUUUUAGUUACUGCUGAGCAGUGCUCACACAGAGCCAAGGCCUUUUCUGCUUCUCACACCACCUCACCAGUGAGUAGCCUGGGGGUGCACAAGAAUUUGGGAAGGGACACAGCCGGGACAACUGAACCAAACUGACCAAAGGGAUAUUCCAUACCAUAUGAUGUCAUGCUCAGCAUAUAAAGCUGGGGGAAGAAGAAGAAAGGGAUGUUCGGAGUUACGACAUUUGUCUUCCCAAGUAACCGUUACACAUGAUGGAGCCCUGCUUUCCUCGAGAUGGCUGAACACCUGCCUGCCGAUGGAAAGUGGUGAAUGGAUUCCUUGGUUUGCUUUCAUUUACCUAUUAAACUGUCUUUAUCUCAAA